rnacentral:rRNA from 1 species
AGCAGCCGCGGUAAUUCCAGCUCCAAUAGCGUAUAUUAAAGUUGUUGCAGUUAAAAAGCUCGUAGUUGAAUUUCGGGAUCAAGGAAUCGGUCAUGCCUUGGUAUGUACUGGUUUUAUUGGUUCUCACCUUCUAAAGAACCAUAAUGUCAUUCAUUUGAUGUUAUGGGGAAUUAGGACUGUUACCUUGAAAAAAUUAGAGUGUUUAAAGCAGGCUUACGCUUGAAUACAUUAGCAUGGAAUAAUGAAAUAGGACAUCAGAUUCUAUUUUGUUGGUUUCUAGGAUCGAUGUAAUGAUUAAUAGGGAUAGUUGGGGGCAUUAGUAUUCAAUUGUCAGAGGUGAAAUUCUUGGAUUUAUUGAAGACUAACUACUGCGAAAGCAUUUGCCAAGGAUGUUUUCAUUAAUCAAGAACGAAAGUUAGGGGAUCGAAGACGAUCAGAUACCGUCGUAGUCUUAACCAUAAACUAUGCCGACUAGGGAUCGGAUGAUGUUUAUUUUUUAGUGACUCAUUCGGCACCUUACG